rnacentral:rRNA from 1 species
UGGGGAAUUGUUCACAAUGGGCGCAAGCCUGAUGACGCAACGCCGCGUGGGGGAUGAAGGUCUUCGGAUCGUAAACCCCUGUCGAAUGGGACGAAAGACUCGCGAGUGAAUACUUCGCGAGAGUGACGGUACCGUUAAAGGAAGCCACGGCUAACUCUGUGCCAGCAGCCGCGGUAAUACAGAGGUGGCAAGCGUUGUUCGGAAUUACUGGGCGUAAAGGGCGCGUAGGCGGCCCUCUAAGUCAGACGUGAAAUCCCCCGGCUUAACCUGGGAACUGCGUCUGAUACUGGAGGGCUUGAGUAUGGGAGAGGGAUGUAGAAUUCCAGGUGUAGCGGUGAAAUGCGUAGAUAUCUGGAGGAAUACCGGUGGCGAAGGCGGCAUCCUGGACCAUUACUGACGCUGAGGCGCGAAAGCUAGGGGAGCAAACGGGAUUAGAUACCCCCGUAGUCCCUGAGCGGGC